AAACGAUUGAAGUCAGUCGUGUGAAGGGUAUUCAGCCGUCUCUGGCGGUGUACUUGCCCUUCACGGGUCAACAUCAGUUUGAUCCGGUGGAAAAAGGCGGGAGGAAGGUGGCACCCUCGGGUGUGUUAUAGCCUCCUGUCACAUACAUCGGACCAGACUGAGGAACGCAGCUCGCAGCAAUGCCGGGGUUCGCCCACGUACGAGCUUAGGAUGUUGACAUAAUGGCUUUAAACGA
rnacentral:rRNA from 1 species